rnacentral:rRNA from 2 species
AGCAUCCGUAGCUCGUUUUGUAAGUUUUCGGUUAAAUCCAUGCGCUUAACGUAUGGGCUGCCGGGAAUACUGCAUAACUAGGAAGUGGGAGAGGUAGACGGUACUCGGUAGGAAGGGGUAAAAUCCUUUGAUCUAUUGAUGACCACCUGUGGCGAAGGCGGUCUACCAGAACACGUUCGACGGUGAGGGAUGAAAGCUGGGGGAGCAAACCGGAUUAGAUACCCGGGUAGUCCCAGUUGUAAACGAUGCAGGCUAGGUGUUGGGUCGGCUACGAGCUGUCCCAGUGCCGCAGGGAAGCCAUUAAGCCUGCCACCUGGGAAGUACGGCCGCAAGGCUGAAUUUCCAUGGAGAUUCAGGAAUACUGAAUU